rnacentral:rRNA from 1 species
UCGAGAAUUUUUCUCAAUGGGCGAAAGCCUGAAGGAGCGACGCCGCGUGGGGGAUGAAUGGCUUCGGCCCGUAAACCCCUGUCAUUUGUGAACAAAUUGCUUCACCUAACACGUGGAGCAUUGAUUGUAACGGAAGAGGAAGGGACGGCUAACUCUGUGCCAGCAGCCGCGGUAAUACAGAGGUCCCAAGCGUUGUUCGGAUUCACUGGGCGUAAAGGGUGCGUAGGCGGUUGGACAAGUCUGAUGUGAAAUCCCGCAGCUUAACUGCGGAACGGCAUUGGAAACUGUCCGACUAGAGGAAUGGAGGGGAGACUGGAAUACUUGGUGUAGCAGUGAAAUGCGUAGAUAUCAAGUGGAACACCAGUGGCGAAGGCGAGUCUCUGGACAUUUCCUGACGCUGAGGCACGAAAGCCAGGGGAGCAAACGGGAUUAGAUACCCGCGUAGUCC